rnacentral:rRNA from 1 species
AUUGAACGCUGGCGGCAUGCUUUACACAUGCAAGUCGAGCGGUAACAGGCCUUCGGGUGCUGACGAGUGGCGAACGGGUGCGUAAUGCAUCGGAACGUACCCAGAGGUGGGGGAUAACGCAGCGAAAGCUGUGCUAAUACCGCAUGUGAUCUGAGGAUGAAAGCGGGGGACCGAGCAGCAAUGUUUGGCCUCGCGCCUUUGGAGCGGCCGAUGUCGGAUUAGCUAGUUGGUGGGGUAAAGGCCUACCAAGGCGACGAUCCGUAGCUGGUCUGAGAGGACGACCAGCCACACUGGGACUGAGACACGGCCCAGACUCCUACGGGAGGCAGCAGUGGGGAAUUUUGGACAAAGGGCGCAAGCCUGAUCCAGCAAUGCCGCGUGCGGGAAGAAGGCCUUCGGGUUGUAAACCGCUUUUGGCAGGAACGAAACGGUGUCCGCUAAUACCGGGCGCUAAUGACGGUACCUGCAGAAUAAGCACCGGCUAACUACGUG